AUUGAACGCUGGCGGCAGGCCUAACACAUGCAAGUCGAACGGUAACAGGGAACAGCUUGCUGUUUCGCUGACGAGUGGCGGACGGGUGAGUAAUGUCUGGGAAACUGCCUGAUGGAGGGGGAUAACUACUGGAAACGGUAGCUAAUACCGCAUAACGUCGCAAGACCAAAGAGGGGGACCCUCGGGCCUCUUGCCAUCGGAUGUGCCCAGAUGGGAUUAGCUUGUUGGUGGGGUAACGGCUCACCAAGGCGACGAUCCCUAGCUGGUCUGAGAGGAUGACCAGCCACACUGGAACUGAGACACGGUCCAGACUCCUACGGGAGGCAGCAGUGGGGAAUAUUGCACAAUGGGCGCAAGCCUGAUGCAGCCAUGCCGCGUGUAUGAAGAAGGCCUUCGGGUUGUAAAGUACUUUCAGCGGGGAGGAAGGGAGUAAAGUUAAUACCUUUGCUCAUUGACGUUACCCGCAGAAGAAGCACCGGCUAACUCCGUG
rnacentral:rRNA from 1 species